UGUUGGUGCAGCAGGCAGUACAGCAACAGCAACAAAUCACACACCAGCAGAAAGCAGCAACAUCAGGCUUUGAGCGCCAGCAAACAACAAUUAAACAAGCGAAAAUUGCAGCAACAAACAAACGAAAUGAGUUCGCUAAACGGAAAAUUCAUUUGCGCAUAUGGAAUGCUGCACACAUAGAUAUAUACAUAUAUAGCCCCGCAUACAAGCAUAUAUAUAUAGAUAUAUACGUAUAUGUUAUACACACACAAAUCUACAUAAAAUCUAAGUGCAAACCAAUUGUGAUUUAAGCUAAUGACCACAACCGCAAAACAGCUCCAACAACCAACAAGAAAGUGUAUAAAAAAUUUUUCAAGUUUUUUAAGUAUAUGAAAUUCAACCAAAGCCUUGUAAAUAGCCAACAAAAUAACUAAAGAACAAGAACUCUUUUCUUAUUAAAAACAAAACAACAACAGCAAAUAAAACCAAAUUAAUUAACUCAACUAAGGAAAGCCAUAAACAACAAACAACGAACGAAUAGACAACGCCGUUUACACCGCAACCUGAUAGAGAAAUGCAUUGCUAAACAGCUGGGGGCUACUAACUCCCUUUCAACCGAGUGGCCUGCAAUUCGAAACGAUCUCAACGCAAAAAUGGCACAGCAACGCACUGGGCAGCAACAGCAACAAAGGACGAAACUAACUCGACACGGGCUGCAGCAACAACAACAGCAAUUAGAAACAACAACAAAGGCCCGGCAACGAUAUAGAGCGGUGGGAAAAUGAAACAAAAACCAGAAACGAGUUUUCCACUCAAAUUUGCAUUCAGCCAAAGAAAUACAAAGGUCUAAGCAAGGAGGAAGGAACCGACACAAACCAACAAACCAACAAACAAACGCAGCACAAUAAGAAAGUCGCCAGUGAAAAGGGGUCAGAGGGCAUACACACGCACACAGACACACACAAAAAUACAACACACAGGAGCAGACCGCAACACAAAUACAAGCAUAAGGAGAGCAUAAAACACAAAACACAUUCAACACACGGACACAGAAGGACGAAGAGUGCAUUGUGAACAAUUUUCAACGAAUUUCCAAAAGUCUACAAAGUAAAAUAACUAACAAGCGUUCAUUACGAAUAACAAAGGAAACCAUAAUAUUUGAAAUUUGCUCUGUGAUUUUCUAUCGGAAAUGGUUUAGUAAUCCAAAUAAUAAUAAUAAUAAUACUAUUUAAUAACAACGUAUUUAUAAAUACUGCAAAACUGCAUUCCAAACCAUAGAAAAGUUUAUCAAAUCCCCCAAGAAAAGCUUUAAACUCAAUCGAAAACGUAAAUCAACAAUUUCUAUAAAUAUUAUCAAGCAAAGUUUAUUACACUGCGACUAAUUAGACCAGCUAACGCUACUCGAAAACAUAAUUCGACCACAACCACAAUUCCACCAAAGGACAUCGCCACACCGGAGCCAUGGACGAAAUGCCCGACCUGUCGCACCUCACGCCCCACGAGCGGAUGCAGAUCGAGAAUGUCCUUAUGCGGCAGAAGCAGGAGGAGGAGAAGCAGAACGAGAUCAUGCGGCGCAAACAGGACGAGGUGGUGACGCUGGAAAUGCAAAUCAGACAGCGAUCCGAGCAGCAGAAGAAGGCCGGCGUCGAGCUGGAUGCCACCUGUCACAUAUGCCUUAAGACCAAGUUCGCCGAUGGAGUGGGCCACAUCUGCCACUACUGCAACAUACGCUGCUGCGCCCGGUGCGGCGGCAAGGUGACGCUGCGCAGCAACAAGGUCAUUUGGGUGUGCAUACUGUGUCGCAAGAAGCAGGAGCUGCUCUCCAAGACUGGCCAGUGGAUCAACAAGACGGCGGCACAACAAGAUGGUUUCAUCCGACGCAUCGAGCCGGAUGGGAGCAGCGACAUUUCGCAGCAUCCCAUCGUGGAUCCGCACGACACCACGGACAAGCGGCCCAAGCUGGAGAGGACGCGGAGUGCCGCCGAGAAGGAGAACCUACCGAUGCAGCGGGCGGGCAGCAUGCUGAGGCGUCAGUACUCGCAGCAGGAGCAGCCCACGAAUCGUCGCCUCUCCGCGUCCGACAGCGGAAUGGAUCCCGUGAUGAGUCCUGGCCAGCAGAUGCAGCACCAUCAGCAGCAGCAGCGAGCUCGGAUGCAGCCGAUGAAUCCGCAGCAGGGGCAGCAGGGAUACGGCAUGCAGCAGCAGCAACAACCCAGAUCAGGUGGCGCCUAUCCCGAUGAUGACCCCAGAUACUAUCAGGGUGAACUCGAUGGCCUGAUGAGGCAGCAUCCCCACUUGGCGCAUCCCAGUCAGGUACAGCCACAGCAUCCGCCGCAGUCGCACUCGCAACAGCAACAAUCUCAGCACCAGCAGCAACAUCUUAUGCCGCAGCAACAUCGCCCAUCGCCGCAGCAACAUUCCCAGCAGCAGCAGCAGCAACACUCGCAGCAAUUCGCGGCCAGGCAGCAGCAGCAGCAACAGCAUCAGCAGCAGGUGCAACAAUCGUACCACGCGCAGAUCCACCAGCAGCCGCAGCAACAUCCGCAUCCCCACUCGCAACAGCAGCAGCAGCAACAUCAGCAGAUGCAGCAGCAGCAUGGCCAGCCAGUGCCGCAGAUGGGCGGCUACCAGAAGCCGCCACCUCUGACCCGCAACCUGACCAUCAGCGGUGGUCAUGCGAUGGACUCCAGUGCCUACAGCCAGCAACAGCAGCAGCAGCAGCAGAGGCGCGCUCUCGCAGGAUCGCAGUACGCCUCGCAGCAACAGAGGUCCUUCAGCAGCUCCGAGGAGGAGUUCCAGCACCAGCUGUUGGCCGCCCAGGGCGCGGUGACGGUGACCGCGGGAUCGGACUAUGACGGCGGGCGCCUCCAGGUGCGCACCUCAUUGGAUCCGUGGCGCCAGCAGCGCAGCCUCAACGAACGGGAUCUGCUCAGCAGCGGUGGUGGUGGUGGCGUCGGUGGUGCUGACUUCCGCCACCUGUCGCACGCCACCCAGCGGCUGUACGCCUCCGCCGAUCAGCGGGAUCGCUACGAGCUGCAGCUGCAGCACCGCGAGCGCCUGGAGCAGUAUCCUCUCACGCGCACCGCUCGCCUGGACGUCCAGCAGCGCAACUCGCUGAACCGCAGCAACCACGAGCGGCAGUUCUCCGGCGGCGGAGCAGGCGUAGGGCCAGGAGGAGCGGGUGGUGGUGGUGCUGCUGGCGCCUACCGACGUGCCCCGCCCUUGGCAGCCGCCGGCGGCGGUGGCAGCAGCAGCAGCAGCACCACUAGCAGCAGCUACUAUCCCCAAUCGAAGCCGCAGAUUGUGAUUGGUCCGGGAUCGGGCUACGAUCGGGGAUCGGGAUCCAUGGCUUCCAUGGCAUCGGCAGCGGCGGCAACAGCGGCGGAUGCCCAGGGUCAGGCGGCGCGGAAUAGCCAGCGUGGUGGUCUGCUGGGCGCCACGAGAGGCGGCGGUGGCAGCAGUUCCGUCAGUUCCACGGAGGCUGCCUACUGGGACGAACCGGCCACCAGUUCCUCCUCAUCUGCGGCCCAAGAUUCGCGGCGUUUCACCGAGCGUAGAAUAAAGAAGACGGUGCGUUUCGAUGCCCACGACGAAGAGGCCUCCAUAUUGGCCAGCAGUUCACUGCCCCCAGUCACGGCCAUCCUGCCCUCCACGGCUGUGGAUGUGGGUGCAGCCACCAUAUUGAGCAGUGGAAAGAGCCUGGAUGCCGGCGGAGUUGGUGGAGCUGACUGGUCGCGAUGGGAGGCCGAGCGACAGGGUAGCCAGGACUCGGCCACCAAGGACUCGGGCAUCGAUACCAGCAGCACGUUCACCAGCAGCGAGGACUCAAAUCGAGGAGAUGGGCCCAAGAAUCCGGUGAAUUGGCAAACAUCCGCGGACAAUACUCGCCUGAUCGGGCACAUGAUAUUGCGUAAAUACUAUGAUGGGGAGGAUAUAUUAGGCUUAAAGGUCAACGGCGGUCAGCCCCUCGCAACGGGUGGAUCGGGAUCGGGAGCGGGAACGGGAGCAGCGGUAGGAGCAGGAGGUCCAUGCGGGGCCAUUGUGGAGAAGGUGAAGCGCGGAUCGGUGGCCGAUCUCGAGGGAAGGAUUCGACCAGGCGACGAGAUCCUCGAGUGGAAUGGCCGCGGCCUGCACAACAAGAGUGCCGACGAGGUCUACGACAUCAUCGACGAGAGUCGCCUGGACGCCCAGGUGGAACUGAUCGUCAGCCGGCCGAUCGGCAGCGGCGGCGGCAGUGGCGGCAGCAGCACCAACGUCAGUCCCAUCAGCGGAGCCUCCGGCGGAUCCGCCAACAGUGUGCCCGCUCGCCGCUCCUCGGCCAACUUCCCGCACAGCGGGUUGGCGAGCAGCAUGGCCGGCAGUGCGGUGGUCAGCAGCGGGGGAAGAUAUCUGCAGCGCAAAGCUCCCGCGGUCGAGGCCAUUGAAAUCCAUCGGGACAAGCCGAGCGUGCUAAUCACCUCGCCCGGCUCGCCGGACAUCCACACCAGUGUAUCCGGACCGGGAUCGGUAUCAGGAUCAGGACUCCGGCAACGUGGCGGCGUCGGGCAGACGCAGCGCCUGGGACCAAGCCACAGUACCCACAGCCACAGCAGCAGCGGGAGUGGCAGCGGCAGCGGCAGCAGCACCAGCAGCGUCCACGCCCCCGCCUCCGCCCACGGCCCCGUCCACGCGUCGGCGUCCGCUUCCGGUUCCGCCCCUGGCGGCCUGCACGGCACAACGACGGCGGGCCACCAUCACCACCCGCACCCGCACCACUACCACCCGCACCAGCAUCCGCUUCCGCAUCCGCACCAGCACCAGGGUCCGCCCGCCGCCCACCUGCAAGGCCACGGGGUGGGCGGUGGCAUCGGCAUGGGCAGCGGCUCCGGCACCACCACACAGCCCAUCCCCAUCGAGGGGCGGCUGCAGCUGAAGCUCGGCUACGACCAGAACACCCUGCAGCUGAUCGUGACCCUGGUCUGCGCCACCGGACUCUCCCUGCGCCAGAGCGGAGCGGGCCGCAAUCCAUAUGCAAAAGUGUUCCUUCUGCCCGAUCGAAGCCACAAAUCCAAGCGGCGAACGAAGACGGUGGGCACCACCUGCGAGCCCCGAUGGGGCCAGACCUUUGUCUACUCGGGUCUGAGACGCUGCGACCUCAACGGCCGACUGCUCGAGGUGACGCUGUGGGACUAUGUGCGGUACGGGGCCAACGACUUUAUCGGCGAGGUGGUCAUCGAUCUGGCGCACCACAUCCUGGACGACGAGGCCGAGUGGUAUCAGCUGCAGCCCCACCAGGACACCUCCUAUCUCUUACGUGACGAGGGCAGCGAUGUGGACGGCCUGAUACUGACACCGACAGAUCAUUUAUCACCGCCGAGCACCAUGUCGCGCCUUAGUGAUUCGGACACCACGUCCGACUGCGACAUCGAUGGAAUGACUCCGGGGGCCAGCAUCUCGUCCAUGGGCAGCUCAGCGAGUCCGCCGCCCCUGCUAGAGCUCGAUCUAAACGAGCGUCGGUCCCGACGUGACAUGUCGCCCCAGGGCCGCAAACGGGUGGCCGGGAUGGUGGCCCGCGACUACCGCACUGUAUCUGGCAUUGGACAAAGUUACCACAAUCAGGCCUCUGCCACCGGCUACUAUCGUCGCGGAGGUGGUAAUGGUGUCGGCUCCGCCAUCGGUCCCGGUGGCAUGAGCCUCAGCCAGCGGAGUCACUCGGCGGCACCCAGCGACGGUUACCACAGCAGCGGAGUAGGAGGAGCGCCCUCCGGCGGACCCGCCUACGGCUAUCGGAGCACCAGUCCCCGACGGGGCUCCUUGUCGCCACCCGACGACCGCUACAUAGACUAUCCAGUGCUUCCAGUACACGGCUCCUCGCCCAACGCCCCAUCGGUCUACCAGGGACCGGGUGGUGCGUCCUCAGCGGCGGCGUCUGCUUCGCAGCAGCAGCGAUUCCAGUCGCGAUCGGCCACAGCCACGCCCACGGGAUCCCCAAAGAAGAGGCAGCUACCACAGGUGCCGCAGACCUCCCGCAGUGCGAUGCUGCGAGAUCGACUGGGUCAGGACUUCGACGAGCGGUUGGCCUCGGGUGGUCGCUUCGGGCGGCACCGCACACGGCAGCCGCACCACCAGGCCACCUACCGCAGCACCGGAAUGGGCGGAUGGGAGCGCCACUACACGGGACUGUCCGACAGCGACCUGCACUCUAUGGACGCGCGGAUGCGACCAAGACACUCCCUGUCGCCGGACAAGGACUUUAUGGGCGAGUUCGGCGACUCGGACAUGGAGUCGGUGGUCAGCGUGACCUCCAGCGCCUUCUCCACGCAGUCGGAGCGACCGCGCACGUCGCGCGGACUCAGCUUCCCCCGCAACUGGCGCAAUCUCUUUGGCGUCCGCAACAGCUUCCUCGGGGGAGCAGGAGGCGAACCCAUUACCGGACUGCGGCUGCACCACUCGGAGCCCGGAAGGGCCAACACCAUCGAAGUGGAUGACUGCGACUAUCUGCCGGUGGGCGGUGCCCAGCAGUUGGUGUUGCUGGAGCAGCUGGAGCAACUGCAGCAGCUGGCCGCUCUGGCGGCAGCAGAUUCCCCACCCAUUUCGGCGGGAAUUGGAAUACAGCCACCUCAUCAGGUCUUGGUUACCGAUGCCAAUAGCGGCCAGUUGGUGGAACAAUUCUACGUUGAGCCCGGCACAAUGGCCGAGGAGAUGAUGGAGCCACUCGAUCCCCAUUUACAUCCACAUUCCGUCUUCUACUCGCCAUCGCCCCAUUUGCCACCACAGCCAUUCGACAUCGAUAUCGAUAACAUUUAUCCACCACGACGGUCCAACGGACUGAAACCGAACGUACAAGCCACCGCCGCUGCCUAUCCGCUGCCGCUGCUGCCGAGCUUUGAGCAAUUCAAGCGCAUUACCACGCCCAUCACGAAUUUCUUCCGCAGCUCCUCGCCCGCGGGCGUCCACCCCCACGCCCACGACCACACCUCCACGACGCCCAGUUCGCUGGUGGGCUAUGUACGCGACCACCAGGACAAGAGCUGCAGUCACUGCCAGAAUGGAAGUCAGCCGGUGGUGCUGUCGACGCACCACACCCUUCACUUGACCGCCGCCGGUCUGGCAAUCGGCGCUUGCCAGGAUCCCUGCUGUCUGGCGGAUGCCCAUCCGCACCCACAGCAUCAGCCGAUGGGCUACGGGGAGCCACCCACUUCGGAUCCUGCGAUGUGCGGCGAGUGUGUGGAUCAGCACUUUCUGGGUGGAUUAACGGGACCGCAACUGAAUCUUGGUGUGGUUCCCACUUACCAUGUUCACACGCCCACUCCAAAUGCGCAUCGGCGUGCCAGGGGACAAAUGGCCACUCCUGCACCUCCGCCCACGCAAUCGGUGCUGCGUCUGUCUCGCCAAUUGAGCGAAGAUGCCCUAGUGGCAGCCGUUCCCAUUUCGGAAGCCAAGGCGCAACCAACUUCGAUCCUGAAGAAACCGAAGCUGGAGCGAAGGAGACUCUUUCACGAGGGACAAUCCCGGUCGCUAGACUACGAUGAUCUGCACACGAAGAGCUGGGGUCGCCGUCGAAUUCGAUACGAGGACGAGGUGAUGCCUUCGUCUGGAGACUAUCCUUAUCCCCAUUCGAAUCCGUAUGCCAGCUACUCACCCACGGCGGCAAUGUCGCGACGCUACGGAUCGGAGACCAAUAUUCGGCAGAGUUAUAUGGGUGCAAAUGUGGAUGCCAACCAUCCGCUGAGUCACUCGCAUUUCCUGGUAACGGAUGACAAGAUAGUGACCAUUACCUACGACUCGGAUGUGGGCUGGACGCGACGGGGCGUGGCUCCGUCCCUCUUUCGCGGAGCGCACCGACAACGUGGACUGGCGGAUCCCAGGAACCACAUGUCGCUAGAUUUGCAGCGAACCAGUCAACAAAAGCUAUACGGACCGGCGGCACCGUAUUUGAAGCGCCGAAGGAAUUUGCCGCAUCCGCCCAGUGCGCAGAAUGCCCACAACUUUUCACCAAUGGAGCCGGGAUCGGGAAUGGAUGGGCUGAAUGCUGCGGCAGCGGGAAUGGUGGAACAGGGCAACGGAAUGGGUAGCGGUGGUGCACACAACACUACCAGUACACACAAUAGCAACCACCACACCAACCACCACAAUAGCCAAGCGAGUAGUGUUAGUGUUAGCCAAAGUCACAAUCAACAACUUCAACAACAACAACAAUUACAACAACAAUCAGUUAGGCAAAAAGGGAAAGAAGGCACCACCGCCAUUAGCGGAUCGAUGAUGGCAUCGGAGCAGCUGACGAAAUCUAGUAGUGGGAGCGGUGGUGCAACAUCUGCUGCCGCUGCUGGGCAUCUUGUCGUCGGUGGUACUAAUGCUAAUAAUGCUUCUUCUUCCUCUUUUGCAAAUCCCCAACCACCACCACCACAACAACAACAACAACUUCAUGGAUCACCCAACAAUCUCAACAACAAUAACAAACGUGCCCCAUCAUCAACACCACAACAAAACACGAACACCAUAAAUGACGCCAACAACCUGACGCUCGACGCCACACAACAACAAUCACAACAACAACAACAACUACAACAACCACCAAAUACAUGCACAAAUCAAAACACGAAUCCAACAACCACAUUAACAACAACAACCACAACAUCGUCGAAUGCAACGAAUGCGGCGACAACGACAACCGCAAAUGCAACAAAUGCUACAACAACUGCCACAAAUCCAAAAACAACAACAACGAAUAACACGAACGAACCAAACGCAACAACAACAACCACAACAACGAACGCUAAUGCUGACGCGGAUGCUGACGCGGACGCUGAUGCUCCGCUGGACGCCAUCGACUGGGAUGCCAUCGAUGCUAUGCUGGACGACGACUUUAGCGAGUACGACAAGGACAAGAACGGCGCCGAAGAGGCUGGUGGCUCCAAGUCAGCGGAGGGUGCAGGUGCCGAAGAUAAAGUCGAUGGCAGCCUCUCGGACACCGCGAACGAUCGGAAGAAGGGCGGCGGCGUCGACCAGGAGCGAUCCCCGAAAGGAGGCAGCGGCAUGGGCAAGAAGUCCAACUCCACGUCGCAGCUUUCGGCCACAGGUCGUAAAAGACGUAUGGGCUUUGGAAAGAAGGGUAAGAACUCGUUCACGGUGCACCGCAGCGAAGAAGUGCUGCCCGGCGAUAUAACGCGGGAACUGCGAACCGGUGGCGGAUUGGGCGUCAGUCUCGGCGGUGCCGGUGGUGCCGCCGGUGGGUCAGGUGGCGCCGGCGGGGGCGGCCUGUCCCGCGGCUCGUCCUCGGAGGCGGACGCCAUCGAGCAGUUCUUCGGCGAUGGUGCCGGCGGGGAAAGAUUCUCCCCUUCGUUGCGCAACGAUGGAGCCCUCAAUGAGUUCGUGGAUGGCCUGGGACCUGGUCAACUGGUUGGUCGCCAGGUGCUGGGAGCUCCUUCGCUGGGCGAUAUCCAGCUAUCGCUGUGCCACCAAAAAGGCUGUCUGGAGGUGGAGGUCAUACGGGCCAGGGGCUUACAGCAAAAAGCCCAGUCAAAAAUGCUGCCUGCUCCGUAUGUAAAGGUGUACCUAGUGUCGGGAAAGCGCUGUGUGGACAAGAUGAAGACUUCCUCGGCUCGACGCACCCUGGAUCCACUGUACCAGCAGCAGUUGGUUUUCAAGCAGUCCUACACCGGUUGCAUACUACAGAUUACCGUGUGGGGCGACUAUGGCCGCAUCGAGAAGAAGGUGUUUAUGGGCGUGGCGCAGAUAAUGCUCGACGAUCUGAAUCUGUCGAAUAUCGUGAUCGGCUGGUACAAGCUCUUUGGCACCACCUCACUGGUCAGUUGUCCCACUAAUAUAGGCUUAGGCUCUAGGCGCUCAUCCAUAGCCUCACUCGACUCACUCAAACUCUAGAUCUAAACUAAACUGAAACUCGACUAAAAACCAGAUUAUUUCAAACUCAAAUCGUACAAGAAUACAAAAACAAAGUAUAAUAGAAAUUUCGCAAAUCGCAAAUUUGAUAAACAAAAAAAAAAACACUUGCAUAUAUUUAUAUAAGUCAACACACAGAACAUAUAUUUAUAUAGUACUUAGCUCAACGUUUUGUUCAUAGCAAGUUACCAAGAACAAAAGUUAUUUAAAUUUGUAGCGUAAUCAGUCUUAAAACACCUGUAAAAAGAAAUCCCAAGCUCAAAAGAUCAGUUCAACGGUCCAGCCAACCAAUUUGAAAUUAAACCGAUACUAUACUGAACAUCAAAGCAUUUGUUGUUUUUAGUUAGCAAUAUACAAUAUACAUACGCACUCCUGUAAAUGAAAAGCUUAUUAAACUCACGGAAACUCACAAGAACACUACUCCCAUGAGGCAAAGUAGAAUGAACCAAUUCGCAUUGUGUACUGAAACUGAAACAUUGAAUGGAGAGUUGAUCGAAAGCAAACCAAUCAAAAAUACCAAACUGCAAUACCAAAUUAAUACGAAAAUAACCUUUCGCAAGUCACCAUAAAUCACCGUUACCGUUAAAGUUACCGUUACUUCAACGUAGUUUUCACAUAGACUCGUAUAAUACUCAUAUAGUAACCAUUCGCCAGUGCUGUCAGCCCGGCAGCCAAAUAGCAAAGGACCAAAGGACAUCCUGCAGCGGCGGAUCCCAGAGGAAGACGCCCGAUCCUCAUUCGGCAGGUCGCUGGCCUAAGCUAAGUCCACAUCUGUUGUUUUUCUAUUCUACGGCGGCGGAAGACUUUGGAGGAAUACAAAAUAUAAAACAAAGAGAAAUAUCUAAUUUUUAUAAGUCAUGAAAACAAAUGCAUUUAAAAGAACCGAGAACCGAGAAACGAGAACACAAGAGCAGAGCAGUGCAGUAAAAUGUUUAAAGACGUAACUACGGAAUACAGCUAAAUGAUAAAUGUAAAGGCAGUCUAUAUAUACAUAUACACAUAUAUAACGGAUAACAUUUGACAAACGGAUACUUGUAAAUUAUGCAUAUUUAAAAUAAUUUUUAUUACACACCUAAGAUCACUAUUAUUUUCGUAAUACGAUUACUACGAUUAUUAUUACUUAAACUAUUACUGAUAAAAGCAUAAAAAACCAACAAAAAAAAAAACAAAGAACAAGGAGAAGGAGAAGGUGGAUAAAGUUCAAGUGCUAGUGUCAGUCAUGCCUAAGCCUUAGCCUGAGCAGAGACGCAGAAGGAUAUAAAUUGUUUAUUGAAUAAAUAGCUAAAUCUAAAUCAGUAAAGGGAGUUAUAGAUUUUCAGAGACGGGAGUUAUUUAAGUAUAUAUACAUACAUAUAUAAAUCGAUAUAUACAUAAAUAUAUUUACUGUUUAAGCAAGCAAAGAACCACUAACACUUAAAUAAGCCUAACUUACGAUAAAACCGAUAAAGUUAAAGCUUAAGAUUAGGUAACUAAAGAGAAGGGACAUGAGAUAUGUAUUAAUCGAACAAAAAGAACAACAAAUAUUUACCAAGCCAGAAAGACGAGAAAGUUUAACUUAAUAAUGCAAAAUCUGAACCUAAGCUGUACAUAGGAGAUCCACACACGUUACAUAUACACCACAUCCGGAUAUCCGACUACCAACUACCGCUUCCCCGAUUAUAGGCUAUAUAGCUUUUGGUUAGCUCUGCGCCACCUUGAAAAACUACGCAGUCACCCCAAAAUGCGUGAGUUUUUGACGUCGGCGAUGAGGCAGAAUACAUAUUUGAGGCAGAAAGUAUCGUUUAAUUUAACUUAGAGCAAUGGAAGGCUUUUUCUCUAUAUGAAUAAACUAUAUCGCGAUUUUGUUGUAGCUCCACUCGCUUCACUAGUCGCUUUAGCAUCCUUUUGCCGCCUUGGUUCCAAUCAACUUGCCUCGAAAACGCAUCAAGUACCUUCAAGUUAAUAGUGUGAGCUGUAAAAAUCGUUACCUGCUUGCCAAAAAGACACACGUACACGUACAUACAUUAGCGUAUUUAUAUUUAUGGAAAAUGGAAAAGUGUAACGGAAUACCAAAAAUAGUUUGCAAUUUACUGCGAGUUCAUUUCAGAUAUUUUUUUGGCAUUCUUUUGGGCAACAUUUUGCAAUGCAUUCCUUGGGAGAAGCAAACAUAUCACUGGCCUGCAGACAGAUGAUGGAUGGGAGCAGUUAACUUUUAUAAAUACAAAUUAGGUCAUAGGGCAGAGUGCAGAGGGAUAACUAUGGAGGAUUAUGAGACACCUAGCUAUUGUUCCUAUCCAGUUGUUUAGUGCUCGUUUUUUUGCUUUCACUCAUGGCUACAGAUAUUGAGUUGAACCUUUCCGUCCAUUCAUUCAGAUACACACAGCUAGCUAUACAUAGACACAGUUGCAACUACAGAUACAGAUACCGACACAGAUACAGAUACAGAUUGAGGUAAAGUUAAAUAAUAUAUUGACAUGUGCAUAUCCAUCCAAGCAGCAGCUUCCUAUAUCAGAACUAAACAACUUAGAGAUACGUAAUGAAAUGCCGAAACACAGGGACAAUGCAUUCAAAAUGUUGCUGCAAAAAAAUCACAAAAAAGUCGCGCAUCGAGCAUUUGGGAGAUGAUGAGGAGGAUAACGCGCUUUAGAUAUUUGAGAAAAGUAAAAAACUACCAGCGAGGUUUCCAGCAACUAAUUAUACGAUAUAUAAGUCAGAGGAACAUACAUUCAGAUACAUACAUACAUUAUAGAUAAUCAGAUUUGUAAACUCCGCUCUUCACGAACCCCAUACGAACUUUUCUAUGAUAAAACUCUCUCUAUCUCUAGACCUUUAUAUUGUUUCCACUGCUCUCCUUCAGCAAGACAUUAAAGUUGCUUUGACUACUCAGCAAUCCAGCAAAAGGACGAACAGAAAUACAAAACUUCGGCCAGGUCGACGUUUUAAUGCCCUUUCCGGAAUCAAUUGGUUUAAAAAAGAUACAAAUUGCUGAAGAAAAGUGCUAUAAGAAUAUUUCGUAGUGGGCAUUCCAACCGUACAGUCAUACCAGAAAUUCUUAUUAGGAUUCCUAUAGAAUUCGUUACAUUUAAGUCACAACAAAGACAAAAGCAUAUAGAAAAUGUUAAUGAAGCAAAUGAUAUAUUAUGGCAAGUUAUUUCAAAGGCAACCAAUACAAGAAACAAAAUGCUAUUUACUAAGUUCAAUUCGAAUGACAGGCGACGUUAAUACACGAUACACAAGAUCAACAACACGAGAAUAUAUCAUUUAUUGCAAAUGUUGAACAAAAUUGAUUAAAAAGGCAAAGGACUGCGCUCUCGUUGGGCGCCCCGAACACCUUAUAUUGUAUUUUAAUAUCUCGACAACAAUCGAAGGUCGAGAAACGACAAUAAACUGUGAAAUGAAUAUGUAAAAA